rnacentral:rRNA from 1 species
UAGGGAAUCUUCCGCAAUGGACGCAAGUCUGACGGAGCAACGCCGCGUGAGUGAAGAAGGAUUUCGGUUCGUAAAACUCUGUUGUUAGAGAAGAACAGCGCAUAGAGUAACUGUUAUGCGUGUGACGGUAUCUAACCAGAAAGCCACGGCUAACUACGUGCCAGCAGCCGCGGUAAUACGUAGGUGGCAAGCGUUGUCCGGAUUUAUUGGGCGUAAAGCGAGCGCAGGCGGUCAAUUAAGUCUGAUGUGAAAGCCCCCGGCUCAACCGGGGAGGGUCAUUGGAAACUGGUUGACUUGAGUGCAGAAGGGGAGAGUGGAAUUCCAUGUGUAGCGGUGAAAUGCGUAGAUAUAUGGAGGAACACCAGUGGCAAAGGCGACUCUCUGGUCUGUAACUGACGCUGAGGCUCGAAAGCGUGGGUAGCAAACAGG